GACGAACGCUGGUGGCGUGCUUAACACAUGCAAGUCGAACGGAAAGGCCCUGCUUGCAGGGUACUCGAGUGGCGAACGGGUGAGUAACACGUGGGUGAUCUGCCCUGCACUUCGGGAUAAGCCUGGGAAACUGGGUCUAAUACCGGAUAGGAGCCAGUUUUAGUGUGAUGGUUGGAAAGUUUUUUCGGUGUAGGAUGAGCUCGCGGCCUAUCAGCUUGUUGGUGGGGUAAUGGCCUACCAAGGCGGCGACGGGUAGCCGGCCUGAGAGGGUGGACGGCCAUAUUGGGACUGAGAGACGGCAGAGACGCCUACGGGAGGCAGAAGUGGGGAAUAUUGCACAAUGGGCGCAGGCCGGAUGCAGAGACGCCGCGUGGGGGAUGACGGCCUUCGGGUUGUAAACGCCUUUCGCUAGGGACGAAGCUUUUUGUGACGGUACCUAGAUAAGAAGCACCGGCUAACUACGUG
rnacentral:rRNA from 1 species